CUCACUUGGGAAAAAUCUGGAACCUGAAGAUGUGGUGGUGGCUGGUAGCACUGACUAUAAUUCAUCUUUUCAAAAGUUUGGAAGUUCGAUGGAUGUGAGGGAUGUUUCAGAGGCAAUCCCUGAGCUUGAAGGUGAAGAAAAGCACUAAAGUAGUUCUGUAGCUGGGCUUGCAAGUUGAUCAGAUACUCAAUCUUCUUAAACAUACAAGACGGCUACUGCUAGGUCUUUGACCAAAGGUUUGUCCUAUCAGGGAUUGCCUGGAACUCAACAAUACUAAAAGGAAACAGUUUUGAAAGAUACCUUGCCUUCCUGAGAUGCGAAAAGAAGAAAUGCAA